GAAAAUGCAACAACUUGGAGGUAGCUGCCUGAUGUGAAUUUGAGGAGUAACAAGGAAUCCAGGCUGCUGAAAAUGAAAGGACAAGGUGGACGGUGGUCAGAAUGAUGUCAGACAAGUGGCCUGGGUCAGAUCUCAUAAAGCUUGUAAGUCACGUGGCUCCCAUGCUGGUCUGUAUGGGGAAGUGGUGAGAUGGGCUCUUCUGAACGUGACUACACACAAGGAGGAUUAGCCCUGAGCUAACUACUGCCAAUCCUCCUCCUUUUGCUGAGGAAGACUGGCCUUGAGCUAACAUCCAUGCCCAUCUUCCUCUGCUUUAUACGUGGGACACCUACCACAGGAUGGCUUUUGGCAAGCGGUGCCAUGUCUGCACCAGGGAUCCGAACCCCAAGCCGCCGAGAAGCCGAACGUGCAAACUUAACUGCUGCUCCACCGGCCGGCCCCUACAAAUGAAUUUUUUAAACAACACUCUGAAAUAGGAGUAGUUAAGAGCUUUGUAAUUUAAUAUUUCACAUAUCUUUUUAUCUGGAUUACAUCAAAACACAUAUUCACACCCUCUAGAUAAUAUCCUGAUAUUUUUAAACGAAAUAAAAUAUUUUUGUAUUCAAACCACUUACAACUGGAAUUAUCUACAACUUAGUAAUAGUGUGCCAG
rnacentral:lncRNA from 1 species